rnacentral:rRNA from 1 species
ACUAGCAAGUAAGUAGUUUGACUCCUGGCUCAGAACGAACGCUGGCGGCAGGCCUAACACAUGCAAGUCGAACGCCCCGCAAGGGGAGUGGCAGACGGGUGAGUAACACGUGGGAACGUGCCCUAAGGUUCGGAAUAUUCCCGGGAAACUGGGAGCAAUACCGAAUGUGACCGCAAGGUGAAAGAUUUAUCGCCUUAGGAUCGGCCCGCGUCGGAUUAGCUAGUUGGUGGGGUAAAAGCCUACCAAGGCGACGAUCCGUAGCUGGUCUGAGAGGACGACCAGCCACACUGGGACUGAGACACGGCCCAGACUCCUACGGGAGGCAGCAGCUAAGAAUCUUGCGCAAUGGGCGAAAGCCUGACGCAGCAACGCCGCGUGGGGGACGAAGGCCUUCGGGUUGUAAACCCCUUUUACGAGGGAAGAAGUUCUGACGGUACCUCGUGAAUAAGCCACGGCUAACUACGUGCCAGCCGCCGCGGUAAUUC